UACGUAGGGCGCAAGCGUUGUCCGGAAUUAUUGGGCGUAAAGAGCUCGUAGGCGGUUUGUCGCGUCUGCUGUGAAAACGCGAGGCUCAACCUCGCGCCUGCAGUGGGUACGGGCAGACUGGAGUGCGGUAGGGGAGAUUGGAAUUCCUGGUGUAGCGGUGGAAUGCGCAGAUAUCAGGAGGAACACCGAUGGCGAAGGCAGAUCUCUGGGCCGUAACUGACGCUGAGGAGCGAAAGCGUGGGGAGCGAACAGG
rnacentral:rRNA from 1 species